GAGAAAGAAAACGUGCAGAACACUUCGCAGGUCUCAUCCGACAACAGCAGAACCAGGACGAACGAACGCGAUAGCUCCACAUACGAUCCGUGUUCCAGCAAGCAAGGUGAUGCAAAGAAAAAAUCGAAAAGGAGCGAUGACCUAAAGGCAUUACAGAAGGAGUACUUUGUAAGUAAGUUGCGGCUGCAUGAGGAAAAAAUGAAACUGAUUGCAGCAAAGAUGGAAAUGGUGAAGAACCAGGGGGAGUUCUACCGCAACAUGACUAAUGCACUA